CAUCGCCGAAUCUUCCUGUGUGAGCAGGAGAGCGGGGGAACCACUUUGAUCGGGGCGAAUUGCGCCUGGUUCUAGGCGCAACGGGGCACCUUCGGCUCCGAGCCCGACAGCUAACCUCGUAGGCGUUCGAGGGGGAAA
rnacentral:sRNA from 1 species